GUAAAAAUGCUUUCAUGAUCGGACAAAGCUUCAACAGCUGCUUAAGAUGUCCCCAUAAACACUAUGGCUGCUGGAUUUACCUUUGUGUUAUCAGUUGAAGAC